rnacentral:rRNA from 1 species
GACGAACGCUGGCGGCGUGCUUAACACAUGCAAGUCGAGCGGUAAGGCCCUUUCGGGGGUACACGAGCGGCGAAACGGGUGAGUAACACGUGGGUGACCCUGCCCUCAGCUCUGGGAUAAGCCCGGGAAACUGGGUCUAAUACUGGAUAUGACUCCAUGACGCAUGUUGUGGGGUGGAAAGCCUUGUGCGGCUGAGGAUGGGCCCGCGGCCUAUCAGCUUGUUGGUGGGGGAUGGCCUACCAAGGCGACGACGGGUAGCCGGCCUGAGAGGGCGACCGGCCACACUGGGACUGAGACACGGCCCAGACUCCUACGGGAGGCAGCAGUGGGGAAUCUUGCGCAAUGGGCGAAAGCCUGACGCAGCGACGCCGCGUGAGGGAUGACGGCCUGG